rnacentral:rRNA from 1 species
AUUGAACGCUGGCGGCAGGCCUAACACAUGCAAGUCGAACGGUAACAGGAAGAAGCUUUCUUCUUUUCUGACGAGUGGCGGACGGGUGAGUAAUGUCUGGGCAACUGCCUGAUGGAGGGGGAUAACUACUGGAAACGGUAGCUAAUACCGCAUAACUUCGCAAGACCAAAAAGGGGGAGCUUCUGGCCUCUUGCCGUCGUAUGUGCCCGGAUGGGAUUAGCUAGUAGGCGGGGUAACGUCUCACCUAGGCGACGAUCCCUAGCUGGUCUGAGAGGAUGACAAGCCACCGUGGAACUGGGACACGGACCAGACUCCUAAGGGAGGCAGCAGUGGGGAAUAUUGCACAAUGGGCGCAAGCCUGAUGCAGCCAUGCCGAGUGUAUGACGAAGGCCCUCGGGUUGUAAAGUCCUUUCAGCGGGGAGGAAGGGAGUACAGUUAAUACCUUUGCUCAUUGACGUUACCCGCAGAAGAAGCACCGGCUAACUACGUG